GGAGUUAGGACCGUGUCUCAGUUCCUAUGUGGGGGACCUUCCUCUCAGAACCCCUAACGAUCGAUGGCUCGGUGGGCCGUUACCCCGCCGACUACCUAAUCGUACGCAUCCCCAUCGGUGUACCGAUAAAUCUUUAAUUACAGAGAGAUGUCUCUCCGCAACCACAUCCGGUAUUAAUCCUCCUUUCAGAGGGCUAUCCCGGAGUACACGGCAGGUUGGAUACGCGUUACGCACCCGUGCGCCGGUCGCCAUCAAGAGUAGCAAGCUACUCUCAUGCUGCCCCUCGACUUGCAUGUGUUAAGCCUGUAGCUAGCGUUCAUC
rnacentral:rRNA from 1 species